rnacentral:rRNA from 1 species
CCUACGGGAGGCUGCAGUGGGGAAUAUUGCACAAUGGGGGAAACCCUGAUGCAGCGACGCCGCGUGAGUGAAGAAGUAAUUCGUUAUGUAAAGCUCUAUCAGCAGGGAAGAAAAUGACGGUACCUGAGGAAGAAGCCCCGGCUAACUACGGGCCAGCAGCCGCGGUAAUACGUAGGGGGCAAGCGUGAUCCGGAUUUACUGGGUGUAAAGGGAGCGUAGACGGCAGUGCAAGUCUGGAGUGAAAGGCGGGGGCUCAACCCCCGGACUGCUCUUGAAACUGUAUGGCUGGAGUGCAGGAGAGGUAAGUGGAAUUCCUAGUGUAGCGGUGAACUGCGUAGAUAUUAGGAGGAACACCAGUGGCGAAGGCGGCUUACUGGACUGUACCUGACGUUGAGGCUCGACAGCGUGGGGAGCAAACAGGAUUAGAUCCCCUUGUAGUC